rnacentral:rRNA from 1 species
GCGUUAAUCGGAAUUACUGGGCGUAAAGCGCGCGUAGGUGGUUUUGUCAGUCAGAUGUGAAAGCCCAGGGCUCAACCUUGGAACUGCACCUGAUACUGCAAGACUAGAGUACAAUAGAGGGGAGUGGAAUUUCCGGUGUAGCGGUGAAAUGCGUAGAUAUCGGGAAGAACACCAGUGGCGAAGGCGCUCUGCUGGGCCAUCACUGACGCUCAUGGACGAAAGCCAGGGGAGCGAAAGGGAUUAGAUACCCCUGUAGUCCUGGCCGUAAACGAUGAACACUAGGUGUCGGGGGAAUCGACCCCCUCGGUGUCGUAGCCAACGCGUUAAGUGUUCCGCCUGGGGAGUACGCACGCAAGUGUGAAACUCAAAGGAAUUGACGGGGGCCCGCACAAGCGGUGGAGUAUGUGGUUUAAUUCGAUGCAACGCGAAGAACCUUACCAGGGUUUGACAUCCUGCGAAUCUCUUGGAAACGAGAGAGUGCCUUCGGGAACGCAGUGACAGGUGGUGCAUGGCU